ACACGACUCUCGGCAACGGAUAUCUCGGCUCUCGCAUCGAUGAAGAACGUAGCGAAAUGCGAUACCUGGUGUGAAUUGCAGGAUCCCGCGAACUAUCGAGUCUUUGAACGCAAGUUGCGCCCGAGGCCACUCGGCCGAGGGCACGCCUGCCUGGGCGUCACGC
rnacentral:rRNA from 1 species